rnacentral:rRNA from 1 species
AUCGCCUUAGAGUUUGAUCCUGGCUCAGGACGAACGCUGGCGGCGUGCCUAAUACAUGCAAGUCGUACGCUAGAGGUGAGAGUUGAGAGGUGAGAAGUGAGCGAUCGAAGAAAUUGGCUUUGCCAAUUUCAACAAUAUCUCAUUUCCCAUUUCUCACAUCUCACCUCUAGAGUGGCGGACGGGUGAGUAACACGUGGGCAACCUGCCUGUAAGAUCGGGAUAACUCCGGGAAACCGGAGCUAAUACCGGAUAGUAUCUUUCCUUGCAUGAGGGAAGAUGGAAAGACGGCGUCACGCUGUCACUUACAGAUGGGCCCGCGGCGCAUUAGCUAGUUGGUGGGGUAAUGGCCCACCAAGGCGACGAUGCGUAGCCGACCUGAGAGGGUGAUCGGCCACACUGGGACUGAGACACGGCCCAGACUCCUACGGGAGGCAGCAGUAGGGAAUCUUCCGCAAUGGACGAAAGUCUGACGGAGCAACGCCGCGUGAGCGAUGAAGGUUUUCGGAUCGUAAAGCUCUGUUGUUAGGGAAGAACAAGUACCGGAGUAACUGCCGGUACCUUGACGGUACCUAACCAGAAAGCCACGGCUAACUACGUGCCAGCAGCCGCGGUAAUACGUAGGUGGCAAGCGUUGUCCGGAAUUAUUGGGCGUAAAGCGCGCGCAGGCGGUCUUUUAAGUCUGAUGUGAAAUCUCGCGGCUCAACCGCGAGCGGUCAUUGGAAACUGGGAGACUUGAGUGCAGAAGAGGAGAGCGGAAUUCCAUGUGUAGCGGUGAAAUGCGUAGAGAUAUGGAGGAACACCAGUGGCGAAGGCGGCUCUCUGGUCUGCAACUGACGCUGAGGCGCGAAAGCGUGGGGAGCGAACAGGAUUAGAUACCCUGGUAGUCCACGCCGUAAACGAUGAGUGCUAAGUGUUAGGGGGUUUCCGCCCCUUAGUGCUGCAGCUAACGCAUAAGCACU